rnacentral:rRNA from 1 species
UACAGAGGUGGCAAGCGUUGUUCGGAAUUACUGGGCGUAAAGGGCGCGUAGGCGGCCCGUCAAGUCCCGUGUGAAAGCCCCCGGCUCAACCGGGGAACGGCGCGGGAAACUAGCAGGCUUGAGUUCGGGAGAGGGAAGCGGAAUUCCGGGUGUAGCGGUGAAAUGCGCAGAUAUCAGGAGGAACACCGGUGGCGAAGGCGGAUCUCUGGGCCUGUCCUGACGCUGAGGCGCGAAAGCUAGGGGAGCGAACAGG